AAUGAACGCUGGCGGCGUGCUUAACACAUGCAAGUCGAACGGUAACAGAGAGAAGCUUGCUUCUUUGCUGACGAGUGGCGCACGGGUGAGUAAUAUAUAGAUAAUGUGCCUCUUAGUCUGGGAUAGCCAUUGGAAACGAUGAUUAAUACUGGAUAUUCCUUCUUACCAUAAGGUAAGUUGGGAAAGUUUUUCGCUAAGAGAUCGGUCUAUAUCCCAUCAGCUUGUUGGUAGUGUAAGAGACUACCAAGGCUAUGACGGGUAGCGGGUUUGAGAGGAUGAUCCGCCACACUGGUACUGAGACACGGACCAGACUCCUACGGGAGGCAGCAGUGAGGAAUAUUGCACAAUGGGGGAAACCCUGAUGCAGCAACGCCGCGUGGAGGAUGACGCAUUUCGGUGUGUAAACUCCUUUUAUAUGUCAAGAAAAUGACGGUAGCAUAUGAAUAAGCACCGGCUAACUCCGUGCCAGCAGCCGCGGUAAUACGGAGGGUGCAAGCGUUAUUCGGAAUCACUGGGCGUAAAGGACGCGUAGGCGGGUUGGAAAGUCAGAUGUGAAAUCCUACAGCUUAACUGUAGAACUGCAUUUGAAACUUCCAAUCUAGAGUAUGGGAGGGGGAGAUGGAAUUAGUGGUGUAGGGGUAAAAUCCGUAGAUAUCACUAGGAAUACCGAAAGCGAAGGCGAUCUCCUGGAACAUAACUGACGCUAAGGCGUGAAAGCGUGGGGAGCAAACAGGAUUAGAUACCCUGGUAGUCCACGCCCUAAACGAUGAACACUAGUCGUCGGGAUGCUAGUCAUCUCGGUGAUGCACUUAACAGAUUAAGUGUUCCGCCUGGGAGUACGGUCGCAAGAUUAAAACUCAAAGGAAUAGACGGGGACCCGCACAAGUGGUGGAGCAUGUGGUUUAAUUCGAAGAUACGCGAAGAACCUUACCUAGCCUUGACAUUGAAGAAACACUUUAGAGAUAGAGUGGUGCCCUUCGGGGAAAGCUAGUACAUGACAGC
rnacentral:rRNA from 1 species